CGCCGGCGUUGCACAGCGGUGUCACAGAGCCACCGCGCUGCGAUCACUUCGGCGACACAAUCCAAAUUUGUCGGACAUCUCAUUCUGUGCUGGAAACACUGGGAGGCAGGAAGUUUGAAAAAUCGGCCAUUGCCGCCCGCAAUGUCUCGGUCGUGGGCUGGUCGUGGGUUCGUUAUUCCAGUUGUGCGUCAUUCUAAGCCGUUCUGUACAUUUAUACUGGAUAUUAAUUGGAGUCAUUUAGCUGUGCUGAUGCUGUUUGCCGUGUGUUUUGCAUCAGUGCUUCGUGACAUCGGCUGUAUUGCGUGUUUUCGCCGACGGCUUACUACCACAAUGGCGGGAUCUGCGUUCGCCGCCUUCGUGUCUCGGUGCGUCUUUGUACGUCGCACGUUCGCAUAACACUUUUUCCGGUAAGUGAAAUACAUAGCACUUCGUUUUUCGUCAACAAUGUGAAUAUUUUUAGGUGUUACCCGCGACAGUUCUUGAUAUAUGGGCUCUUCUGCCCUGCGAGUUUUCGUCAUUACUUUUAUACGAGGGUCUGCUUGUGUUCAGCCGUUCAGCACUACCGCGCUCCACGACUUCCGCAACACCAGUCAGAACUUUGCCCUGCUUGUUAGUCUUUGUGGUUAACGUAGCACGAACCAACCGAAAGGAGUGCAUUCGAAGGCGACGCGAUGGUUGUAAUCCUGAACCAGACUGAACUCGCCCUAUUUUGUGCCCUUUUGUUCUUGCGUGUGCGCGCGUGUGUGUCAGUGACUGUGCAGUUUGUAGCGUUCCCACUUUAUAGCAAAACAAAAAUAUAGCUGCAAUGUUUACUUCAUCUAUACAAUUCCAAAUUAAAUCGUCUGCUGAUGUACAAAUUUCACUUGUGUUUUGUUCUAAAUAAGCAGCAAUACCUUUAACCUAGUAGGUGCUUCAUCUGGGAGUGAAAACACGACAACUUGGCAUUUAUUAUUGAAUGACUGUGACUGGGUCACCUUAGUUGUAAUUGCAAAUCUGCCUUUCAACUGACUUGAUGCUAUCUUAUUUUGUUUCUUUCACUUUAUAGACGGCUGGACAUCCUUAUUGUACCUUGGCGCUAGCUGGAUGACGGGACCUCAUCAUGAUCAGUGUAUUGCUUGCCUAUGUCUACAAGAACCGUCACGCGUGGCCUGUAACAGCAAGCUUUUGUGGGCAGCAAGUGCUCUCCUACGAAGGCUGGCCUACUCUGGCAGCGGCGGCAAAUCAUCUUCAAGAUUUAUCCAUAAUCACCUUUGCUGCUAUUUGUCACUCUUGUUGAUUACACUUUCUGCGUCUUUUCUAAUUUAUUAGGUAAUAAAGUAUGAGUAUGUGA